rnacentral:rRNA from 1 species
GAUUAACGCUGGCGGCGUGCCUAAUACAUGCAAGUCGAGCGAACGGACGAGAAGCUUGCUUCUCUGAUGUUAGCGGCGGACGGGUGAGUAACACGUGGAUAACCUACCUAUAAGACUGGGAUAACUUCGGGAAACCGGAGCUAAUACCGGAUAAUAUUUUGAACCGCAUGGUUCAAAAGUGAAAGACGGUCUUGCUGUCACUUAUAGAUGGAUCCGCGCUGCAUUAGCUAGUUGGUAAGGUAACGGCUUACCAAGGCAACGAUGCAUAGCCGACCUGAGAGGGUGAUCGGCCACACUGGAACUGAGACACGGUCCAGACUCCUACGGGAGGCAGCAGUAGGGAAUCUUCCGCAAUGGGCGAAAGCCUGACGGAGCAACGCCGCGUGAGUGAUGAAGGUCUUCGGAUCGUAAAACUCUGUUAUUAGGGAAGAACAUAUGUGUAAGUAACUGUGCACAUCUUGACGGUACCUAAUCAGAAAGCCACGGCUAACUACGUG